rnacentral:lncRNA from 1 species
AACCCCCUGCAGAAAUAGACAAACACUAAAACUCAUGGAAUUCUGUCAGAUAAAACCCUAAGUCUAGAUGUUGAUUUCAUUUGGAUCCUUUUCUUUGUUUUAUUUGAUAAUUAAAUUUGAUACUUAAGGACCGUCAACAAACUCCCCCAAGCUUACCUCUUGCUCAUCCAUGAGCAAGGAUAGACUCAGCAAUGGAACAGAAGUUGUUGCAAUAUCUUAAAAAUUUGACGGUACACAUGCUUUUAAAUAAGAUCUCAUCUCUGAGUUAGAGUAAACUGUCAAGAACUAAAACUUACUUACUUUACCUUUCACCAUGGGACUUGUAACCGUCACUUCUGUCUUGAGUAGUAAAAAGAUAGAACAGUCUAGCCAGGUGCCAUGUCUCUUAUUCUUGAUCAGCUAUAGCUCUAGAGUUUUUGCAGAUUUUCAAAUAAAACUCAGAGAUUCCUUGUAUGACUCUCUAAAUCUCUCUUUUGUGGUAUUUCUGGAUCCUUACCAAGGCAGUGAUGGUAUAUGCCUUCUCUCAAGAUAUAUGGUAUUUGUGGUAUAAGGCAUAGUGACAUUGCCUUCUCUCUCACCCUACUCUAAUAAGGCUUUAAUAUCUGGAGCUCAUAGGUGGGAGACAGCUAAUACAUACUUACAAGACAUUUAUUGCAUAGUCAAACCAUAGAUCUAGAGAAACAAGUCAAUAAGUCAAAUCAAGAUAUGCAUGUGUGGCGAAUGAAUGGUGUAUGGUGAUGAUGGUGAUAACAAUGGUGGAAGUCUAAUUCUACUUUUGCUCUUUUGAGGGGAUACAUACCUUCCUUGCUUUUUGAAACUUUAUGAGGAGAAUGAUAUGCUCUAUCUUUCAUUUUUCUUUCCUCUCAGGUGGGUAUCCUGUACCCCUAAUUCUACUGUCGGACACUUGUCUAUUUUUACCUCUCGUCUCACUCUUUUUCUUUUCUUUUGAGGUUCCGGGCACUUGCCCCUUUUUAUUUCCUCGUAUAUUUUUUCUCUCCUUUUUUUUAGAGCACUCAUCUCAUGAGAUAAUAUAGCAGGUGGUAGUAACAAGAUAACUUGAGCAUUUAUUUCACAAGGAAAAACAGAAAUAUUUUUGGUUAUUCUCUCCCGGAUUAGGAGUAGAAUAUUUUUGGGUGGUUCUGGAGAUGGAAAUGAGUGGAUAUAUGUGGAUGGUACUUCUGGAGUAGAAGUAGCAUAUAUGAGUGAAUGUGCAAGUGAAAUCUUGAUUUAACCACAUGACAAGCUCCUAAGGGUCUACACAGCUUGACCACACUCAAUGCUCAUAAGCAGUAAAUAGUAAAUGUGUGGCUCAAAGUCUAGCAAGCAUGUAUAUAUGGCUGUGGUAGGAAUUUAAACUUUCAUCAUAUAGGAACUGAUCAUGCAAUAUUUUAAAGAUUUUUCAAAGAUAAAAUUCUCCAGAAUUCUAGCAUCUCUAGGAACAGAUAAACAGCAGCUCAACCUUCCCAUAUCAUAUCCGUUAACAACUUAGAUUUCAGAUCAAGUUUUCAUCCCACAAGUUUAGAUCUAGAGCAAGCUUUAAAUUAUAACAGUUAUGUCUAAACUUGAGAGAGAACUUCAAAUUUGCAAAUUAGGCAGAGCAACUAUUCAUCAUAUCCAUGCUAGAGUUUUAUUAUUAAGAUUCAGAUUAGCAUAGCCACUUUAUUUAUUUAUUAAACACACUAAGCAAAAGAUAUAUAUAUAAGCACAAAAUCUUUAUUUGGUUUUUCAUAGUUUAUGUAUUUUAAUAUUCUAAUAUAAUAUAAGUAUAAAGAUAGGUAGAAAUACUUAGCGAGAUAAAUAGGGGUGCUCUCCCCCAAGCUGAAUUUUGACGUAAUUUCUCUUGAUGUAGCUAGCAGGUGGCAGAGGUGUAUUUGAAAGUCAGCAACAUUUUGACAGCGAUUAGAAUGUCCUCCGUCUGCUAGUCUUCUUGAUUCUUAAAUUCUGUGGAGCUCAAAUAGACAACAAAGCUUGUGGAACUAAUUAAGUGUUAGCAUAAAUAUUUAGCCUUCAUCAUGUUGAGCUUCCUCAAUAAAUAUUACUCCCUAUUUUUAUAUUUUUAUUUUAUAAAGCAGAAAAGAAAUAUUUAUUUUAUUUUUAUGCCACCACAGUGAAGGUACUUAUGGGUUUUAUGCCACUCGUAUACUCACAUGGGGCUUAGUAUUUUUUAACAUUUUUAUUUUCUUUUCAAGAUGGCAUGAUUAACUAAUAAUCUAUUUACGGAAAGUAAAUAAUUAAAGGGAAAAGGGAAUGCAGAAAGGAUAAAUAUGGAUAACUACCGAUCUUACCUUUCGGCGAGGGUUCAAUGUUUUAAGUCUUCUUAACAAAACUUCUCACCGUGUUCAUUCUUCAGGUGCGUCAUUUGAUUGAGGUGCGGACCUUGACGUCUGCACUUCUUCGUUUGCCCUGCACUUCGAAGUGCGGCGUUGGCAGUAUCCUCCUCACUGUGUUUGUGCUCGUAGAUCCAGGUCCUUCACUUGGUAGAGUCUGAGAGUUAUAAAACUCCUCCGUGUUUUGCUCGAAGUGUACCUGCUCAUAGAGACAAGGCAGAGAUCAAGUGCAUGGGUCCUGUUGGUGGAAAACACCAACAGAACCUAAAGUGUAUUUGUUCUUCUCUAACCCUAAGCAUAGUGAGCAAGAUAAAGUUGAUGGAUGAAAAGUUCAUGAGUGUAGCACUUAUAACAUUUGUCAGAUCGGAUCGCUCAACCUUAUGGAAAGAUAAUCUAUCUAUGUUUUUUCUUUAUAUCUCUCAAAGAUUGAAUGUGUAACAUUUUAGCUCAUAUGACUAGGAGUGUGGGAUCAUGGAGGUAGUACUAAGAACAAGGAUUAAAGGACUAAACAUGUUGAAUCAGUUGGAUUGGUUAAUCUAGAGUUGUAAAUCAUACAUGUUUGUCUCUUUUAUUUAUAUGAAUGCCAGAACCAAGGAGAAGCUUAUAUAAGUGAUAGUCAAGUACCUUAAGAUGUUACCUUGCUUGGAGAGUGAUGGUGUAGUAUCACCUUGUGGAAGCUUUCCUUUCUUAGUGGUUGUGCAUCGUGUUUGUGGCACCCUCCAUGGAUCUUCUCUCUAUGAUGAAUGAGCUAUGUCCUUCUUGUGCAAAUUGUUAAACUUCAUGUGUCACUCUCUUCGUCUCUGAUGUGAGUUUAUCUCAGGACUUCCCAAAUCGAUAUUGAAAGUUUUUUUGC